CCUACGGGAGGCAGCAGUGAGGAAUAUUGGUCAAUGGGCGGAAGUCUGAACCAGCCAAGCCGCGUGCAGGAAGACGGCUCUAUGGGUUGUAAACUGCUUUUAUACGGGAAUAACACGCCUUACGCGUAGGGCUUUGCAAGUAUCGUAUGAAUAAGGACCGGCUAAUUCCGUGCCAGCAGCCGCGGUAAUACGGAGGGUUCGGGCGUUAUCCGGAUUUAUUGGGUUUAAAGGGUGCGUAGGCGGUAGGUUAAGUUUGCUGUGAAAUGCCCGGGCUCAACCCCGGCCUUGCAGCGGAUACUGUCGGGCGAGAGUUCAGGUGAGGUAGGCGGAAUGUAUGGUGUAGCGGUGAAAUGCUUAGAGAUGAUACAGAACCCCGAUUGCGAAGGCAGCUUACUGAACUAGAACUGACGUUGAGGCACGAAAGCGUGGGGAGCGAACAGGAUUAGAUACCCUAGUAGUC
rnacentral:rRNA from 1 species